UUUAAAAUUUUAAUUAUUGUAAUAUUGAAUUGUAGUUUUGAAUUUGGUGAUGAUUUUAAUUUUGGGUUUGAUUGAAUUUUAGUAUAUUCAUUUUGAUUUUGGUGUGGUUUUGAUUUGGUAUAAUUUGUUUUGUCACAAUUGUUUAAACUAACAUAGUUUCGGAAAAAAAUGUAACUAACAAAAAUAUGGACAUAUGUCUGAAUUAAAUUAUUAUUAUUAUAUUUACAUGUCUUCGACCCAGAGAAUAACGACAAUGGUGCUGAAGGCUGGUGUCGGAGCAUAAAAAAACUUGGUGUUGAAUUCAAGUGGACCAGCAUCCACCAAGCUGCCACAGCAGGUGCCGAGGAACAAGUCGAGGGUUGACGAAGUUCUCUCACGGACUACGAGACCCCAAGCAUAGCCCGUUCCAUUGCACGUUGAGCGACUUUAAACU
rnacentral:misc_RNA from 1 species